AACGAACGCUGGCGGCAUGCCUAACACAUGCAAGUCGAACGAACCCUUCGGGGUGAGUGGCGCACGGGUGCGUAACACGUGGGAACCUGCCCUUAGGUUCGGAAUAACACAGAGAAAUUUGUGCUAAUACCGGAUAAUGUCUUCGGACCAAAGAUUUAUCGCCUUUGGAUGGGCCCGCGUAGGAUUAGCUAGUUGGUGGUAAAGGCUCACCAAGGCGACGAUCCUUAGCUGGUCUUAGAGGAUGAUCAGCCACACUGGGACUGAGACACGGCCCAGACUCCUACGGGAGACAGCAGUGGGGAAUAUUGGACAAUGGGCGAAAGCCUGAUCCAGCAAUGCCGCGUGAGUGAUGAAGGCCUUAGGGUUGUAAAGCUCUUUUACUGGGGAUGAUAAUGACAGUACCCAGAGAAUAAGCCCCUGCUAACUCCGUGCCAGCCGCCGCGGUAAGAC
rnacentral:rRNA from 1 species